UUUCAGUACGAAUUCCUUCUGCCCACCCUGUCUUCCUUUCUCUUAUUGUGUUCUCUCUCUCUCUCUCUCUCUCUCUCUCUCUUUCUCGUUUUUUCUCCAUUUCCCCCUUCCAUUUUUCUCUCCUCUUUUCCUAUCUUUUCUUCCUCUUCCUCUAUUCAUUCUCCUAUUUUCAACAAAGUCGAACUUGUUCGUCUGUCUUUAUCCUGGAUGCUUCGGGAUCUUGCCAUUUUGCUAGAAGAAAAACAUCUCUCGCUUUUUACCCGCAAUUAUCUCUUUGUCGGGUUUUCUUCUAUUUUAUAGAAAACUAUGAACUCACGAUCCUGAAAAUUAGGCGUCACUCUUCCGGAUUGGAAGGAGGCUUCUUUUUGUUUGAAAUAUACCCCGGGAUUCUGAACGAGUGGCAUCUGUAAUAACAACGUCCGUUCUUGCAGCUCUCCCUAUACGUAGCGUCGCUACGUGAACGCUACGUGAAAUGGAUUUCUGGAAGCCCGUUCAGGCUCUGAUUAACCACAUUUACGCGGGAACACUAAUCCCGACGAAAGAUCCAUUACCGAUAAUAGUUUCAUGGACAAAAAAUAUUUCCUUGAGAUUUAUUUUCCUGGAGAACCGGAAAUGAACGAAAAGAAAAUGAUAUCUAAAGAAGAAGCAUUUUUACAUACGAUGUAAUGACUCAUUACUA
rnacentral:misc_RNA from 1 species